rnacentral:misc_RNA from 1 species
CAAGUGACCCCGGUUUACCACCGGGAUGUUCAUAACCCUUUGUUGUCCGACUCUGUUGCCUCCGGGGCGACCCUGCCUUCGGGCGGGGGCCCCGGGUGGACACUUCAAACUCUUGCGUAACUUUGCAGUCUGAGUAAUUUUAAUUAAUAAAUUA